ensembl:lncRNA
GCUGGGACAGCGGGGUAACGCUGCUUUAUAUAUGUAAGGGAGCACAAGGUCAAUUGGGUUAGCAAACUGAGGUUGUCAGCAGCUUGGAUAAAUUUUCUCUGGAUUGACGUGACAGUCCCCAUGCGCUGUUUUCUUAUUCAGCCCAGGGUUGUCUGCUGCUGGACCACAGAUGCUGGGAGGAUCAGAGGGACUUCGAGGAUGGGGAAUAAACUCGCCCCAUGUGAGCAGCAUCAUUCAUGGAGGCAGAGAGCCUGCUAAGAGGAAAACACAAAAAUGGGGAAACUUCUCUAAAGAGGCUGUAAGCAAAAUAGCUUUACAGGUAAUGGAGUGGUAUCCGAGAGCUGAGGCUGGGCUCAUAGGGAAAAUAGGGAGUUUCACCACUGUUAGCAGCUUCAAUGCAAAAAAAAAAAAAAAAACAAAGAAAGAAUGCAAAAGUAAAAAUGACAGCUGGCUGCAAACUCUUUCCGUAAUGUUCCAUUUUAAGUGAGAACUAAGGAAUUAGGUAAUUUCUUUGAGCCUUUGUGCCUGCCUUGAUUUGGGACCAGCCUUACACAACUCUCAAAUCAGGCUUAGUGGCUUAAUAUUUUCUGCCACUCAGCUCAGUGUGAGGAGAGGCACUUGUACUCUGUGGCCACAGAGUAAUAAAUUUACCUGCUCAGAAAGGUAAGGUGCUUUACAUGCAAAGUGGGUCCUAAAGCAUGUGCCUGACUGGCUUACUUUUUGGGUGGUGCUUCUACGCAGCCUCCAGCCUGCCCCUGCAAUAAAUGGACAGCUGCAUCUCCAGUCACAAACACCAGCUCUCAAGGAUGCUUAACAAGCUGUGAACAGGGUAAUUAUUCUCUGCAUCACUCUGGUUUUCAGUAAAUCCAAAGCAAACUGCAAAGCAAGAUGACCCCCAGUGCUGGAGACACUGCAAGGCAAUGAAACAGCACCUCUGUCUUAUUUUUCUGUCCAAUAACGUAAAAACAGGACCUGGAGGGCUCUGGAUACUCCUCCCCCUUCCUCUGUUAACCCAACAGGAUUUGAACCUGUAGUGCCAGCAUCCCCACAGGAUGCUGCGGCUCUGGGACAGGAGCAGUGGGGAGGCUGCUCCCCAUCACCCAGUGAAGCUGAGCUGCCAUGCAGAAAGUGAUGCAAGAUUUAUGAAGCUGUGGGGAGAAAGAGCAAGCGACUGUUCAUGUAUUUUUCAUGGGCUGCACUGCAUAAAUAGCAUGGAAUGCAUAAACUGUGACUGGAUGCUUCCACAAAGAAAGGGACCAGCCAGCAGAAGAGAUGAAAGAAUGAAAUAGAUUUAUUCAAGUCAACAGAGCCUGUUGAAAGUCACCCUCGAGUGCAUUAAGAAGCAGCCAAAACAGCAUGACCUGAUCCAGGGGUGGUUCAUCUUUGCCGACAUGAGGGAGCUGGACUCCCGAGGAGUGGAGAAGGGCAUACAUUGUGCCUGCUGGGUAAAAUGGAUGGGUGGGAAAGGAGAGUCUACCUCAUCCGCAACGCUUCCACUGCGGUGUGAGACUUAGAAUCAUAGAAUCAUAGAAUCGUAAGGGUUGGAAAGGACCUUAAGAUCAUCUAGUUCCAACCCCCCUGCCAUGGGCAGGGACACCUUGCCCUAAACCACGUGGUUCAAGGCUCUGUCCAACCUGGCCUUGAACACCGCCAGGGAUGGAGCAUCCACAACCUCCCUGGGCAACCCAUUCCAGUGCUUCACCACCCUCACUGUAAAGAACUUCUUCCUUAUAUCUAGUCUAAACUUCCCCUGUUUAAGUUUGAACCCAUUACCCCUUGUCCUACCACUACCGUCCCUAAGGAAGAGUCCUUCCCCAGCAUCCUUGUAGACCCCCUUCAGAUACUGGAAGGCUGCUAUGAGGUCUCCACGCAGCCUUCUCUUCUCCAGGCUGAACAGCCCCAACUCUCUCAGCCUGUCUUCAUAUGGGAGGUGCUCCAGCCCUCUUAUCAUCCUCGUGGCCCUCCUCUGGACUCGCUCCAACAGCUCCAUGUCCUUUUUAUGUUGAGGACACCAGAACUGUACACAGUACUCCAAGUGAGGUCUCACGAGAGCAGAUCACCUCCUUCGACCUGCUGGUCACGCUUCUUUUGAUGCAGCCCAGGAUACGGUUGCCUUUCUGGGCUGCAAGACUUAGGGAGUCUUAGUUAGGACUUAGGGAGAUCCUAGGACAAACUACUGCACCAGCAGCCAGGUCAGUGCAGAAAGUGAACCAACAUCAAGGCAUUGCUGAAACAACUCAAAAUGGGGUAAGUUGGGGAAAAAAGGGCUACUCUGGAAAACUCAGCCCAGGAGUGCAGGGGGGCAGUGCUGCAAAGGUGGCAGUCCCCUCAGCAGCGGCAUGUGUGCUUCCAAGUGCGUAUUUUCAAUGACGCUUUUGCUGCCAGAGCUCAGACCUCAUGUAGACGAAGAUGGUUAUCAAGGAAGCAAUCCUGGGCUGAUAUAGCAUAGGAAACGGGAACCAGAGCAGCAUGGCCAGCAAAAGGCUCACUCUGCACCCCUGAGAGCAAACCAGGGUGUGCUUGCAGUUACUGCACACCAGAGGGUCUCUGGGGAAAAAUCCUCAGAGAAACUUGGGGAGGGGUGAUGCUCAUUGAAGAUACUGAUUGUUUCUAUAACAAGAAUUCCAGUUGGAGCAUUUGGGGCAAGUCCUUUGGGACUCACUGUGUUUUGAUGGCUGCAGACCCCUGCAUUACAGUGAACUGUGAUAACCCAUUAAUGUAUGGCUCAUUAUUUUCCUCCUGGAUAGGCUUAUGAGCCAGUCAUGGAGGAGAACAAGGUGUCCACGUAUAGAUGAUUUUCUUACCCCAUCAUUCCCCCACCUCCAGCUGGGGUCAGCCCUGCUAUUUGUAGCAUCAGUAUUAGCAAUAUUCAGCACAUAAAGUAUAAUAAAAGAAAGAAGAUGCUUUUCUAUACUGACAUGAUGCUUUGAUAACCUAUUAGCAGCUCUAACUGGGAUUUUUUUGACCACAAAACUCUUUGAGCUUCCCCAUAAGCAGCCAAUGGAUGUGUUUGUGCUGGUGAAGAUGACAUUUCUCUCAAAGCUUAUUUUUUUAACUAUGAAACCAAAAGGAAAAUCUUCUGAGCUGAAAAAAAAGCAGCAAAACUGCGAGAUAGGCUGCCAGCUAUUUUCUUGGUUUGCUCCCAAUAAAGGCCAUAUUUAUUACAAGAAAAUUGAAAUCCUAUUGAUUUCUCUUCUGAGCUGCUGUGUUUCAAGCUUGACAUUUAAACACAAAACUCCAGGCUCCAAAGUUUAAUCAUUUACUCCUCAAGAGUGUGGAGCUGCUGAGCAAAAGUGCAUGUGAGGUAAAAA